CCCUUAGAUGUCCGGGGCCGCACGCGCGCUACACUGAAGGAAUCAGCGUGGCUUUCUCCCUGACCCGAAAGGGUUGGGAAACCCGUUGAAUCUCCUUCGUGAUAGGGAUUGGGGCUUGAAAUUGUUCCCCAUGAACGAGGAAUUCCCAGUAAGCGCGAGUCAUAAGCUCGCGUUGAUUACGUCCCUGCCCUUUGUACACACCGCCCGUCGCUACUACCGAUUGAACGGUUUAGUGAGGGCCUCGGAUUGGUCUCGGCCCGCUCUUUACCGGGCGACGCCGUUGGUCGAGAAGACGCUCGAACUUGAUCGUUUAGAGGAAGUAAAAGUCGUAACA
rnacentral:rRNA from 1 species